UAAUAUUUCUCACUUGUUAUAUAAAUAUUAUAAAAAAAACAAAUUAAAUAUUAUAUGCAUAGAUAGUUAUUUAAAAAAAAAACCUAUACAGGGUGGAACAAAAUUUUAUGUAAAUUAAUUUAAUAAUUUAAAUUUCAAAUUAAUUAAAAGUAAAUUAAAUAAUAAAAAAAAUAUUAUUGUAAAAGAAAAACCAUUUUUUCUAUAUAGUAUAUUUUUAUACCACAAUAUACAAAAUGUACGAUUAAAUACAAUAUUUCGGGAUAACAUAAAAAGAAAAUGUAGAAAGAAACGAGUUUCUUUUUACAAAAAUAAUAAAAAAAAACACACAAAAUUCUUAUUCUUUUCUCCAUAUUUACUACUACUUACAACGCGGAAAAUCGAUGGAGCAGCUUUUAUAAAACACAAGACAAAAAAGAAAACCAGCAAAAAAAAACACAUAAAAAUAGCAACAAAAAGUAAAAUAUAAAAAAAAAAUAAAAAUAGAAGGAGAAUAGAAGAAAAUAUUAAAAUAUAAAAAUAAAUUUAACAAAACAAAAAAAAAAUAUACCUAUAUAAAUAAAGGGAAAAAUUUUAAAGCAUUUUAAAUUUGUAAGAAAAAGAUACGAAAAAUACUUGUAUGUUUAAAAACCAAGGACAACUUUUAAAUAUGCUUGACUUUGAGUGAAAAAGUGAAUACAAAAAAACCAUAGAAAAACUGCAAGCAAAGAAAAAUGAAGUGAAAAAAUUUUUGAAUCGUUAAAAAUUCACAAAAAAAAAACAAACAAACAAAAAGCUAAGGAAAGGCUUUUUGUUUAACUUUCAUCUUAACUUUUAUAACGUUACUUACGCUAUUUCUGAAAUUUUUUUUACUUUUUUUUGUUAUUUUUUUAAUUACUACUUAGUCAAUUUAGUUAAAUUGUUGUUAUAGAAAUUUUUUAUUUUCAAAUUAAUUAAAGUUUUAUUAAAUAUUAAUGAUAUUUAAAUUUAGUUAAUAUUAAAAAAAGAAAGAAAAUUGUAAAUUUUUAAAAAAAUUUCAAAUUUUAAUUUAAAAUUCAAGUGAUAUGCAUCUACAUUUUGAACGGAACGUAAACACAAAAUGCGACUGUUCAAUAUUAUCUUUAUCAUGGAUGGGAAAGGUCCCUGACGAUAUACCAGAGGUAAGAAUUUUUUACGAUAUUUGAGUUUGGAAUGCGAAAUCAAUCAAUCUGAAUCUGAUGUGGAUGUUAUCGAUUGAAAGACAAAUGUAAUUUAUAUUUAGUUAUUGAAGUAUAGAAUUAAAAUGAAAUUUUUAGUUACCUAAUCCAAUACACUCCAAUUGAAAAUUUUAUUGAAAGAUUCGUAAGUAAAUUUAUUUUACUGUAAAUGAUGUAAACUUUUAUGAAAACGCAUUUUUUCUAACGCACAUAAAAUGUAUUUAGUGUUAAUAUUAUAAUGUAUAGAUAUACAUAUUGCUUGACUCUUACCAAAUCAAAUCGAAUUUAGUAGGAGAAUGGCUACAGGCGCUAGUAGAAAUCGGUAGGGUGAAUAUGGCUAUCGUAGGUCCCGGGCUCUUGAGGGGUUGGGAGCAAAGGCGGGUUCGGUCAGGUCAGAGCCUUUCUAUGGGCUGUCAAGUUGUCACAUGAAGGUGUAUGCAGGGGACUGGAUGGGCCGCCUUCAAUAGAAUAGUUGCAAGCGGGCGUUGGGAAUGAAGCAGUUGAGGCUCUUUAUAGUUGUUGAUAUCUAAAAUGAGUGAGGCUAAACAAAUAGUCGACCUCCUCACUGGGCACUGCAGACUGGGUUAUUACUUGCACAAAUUGAUACAAUCUGGGGACCCUUUGUAUUGAUUUUGCCAUGAUGAAGAUGAGACGGCUGGCCAUAUUCUCUUUCUUUUAGUAGCAUUGGCCAGGAGUCGAUUGGUUCAUACGUGGGAGAGACAAAAUCUGUACAGAAAUGGAGUGCAUAUUACAGUUUUGAUUUUUGUUUUUUUUUUCCUUCUUCACUCCUAGGAGGAGUAUAGGGCUAGUGCAUGAUAUUCUAUCAUGCCCUAGUUUCUAUAGUCAUAGAGAGUUAGCUAGGUAGGUGACUAGCCUACCGUAACAGUUUUGAUUACAGUUUUGAUUUUUACAUAAAAACGGUUAAGGUCAUCACAAACCUUAUAAACAAGUAAAUUCAAUUUAAAUGAUAUUAUUUUGCUUCAAAUUUGAUAUACUGAAAUCAAAGGCGUGGUAUGUGCUUUAAAGGGGAAAUUCACACUUAAGCUAUACUCAAGAAAAUUUAUACAUCUUUCAAAGAAUACGAGUAUUCGUAAGUUAUUUUCUAAAAUUGAUAUUAUGGGUGAUCCUUUUAACGUCAGAAAAUUUUUUUUGUAAAUGAAUUCAUUCUUAUACUUUAAAUGGCUACCUAAAGAAAAGAAGCAAAUUCAAACGAAAUUUAAAAUUUAAUUUUAAAAUUAAUUCGUAAGAAUACUAAAUUUUAUAU